AGUCUAAUGCCUGAUUAAAGGAUUAUCUUGAUAGGGUAAAUAAUGUGUGAUAUACUUAGGCUA
rnacentral:tRNA from 1 species